UGGUGUGGGUCCUAUGAUGCAGGCCUUACAA
rnacentral:piRNA from 1 species